rnacentral:rRNA from 1 species
AACGAACGUUGGCGGCGUGGAUUAGGCAUGCUAGUCGAACGCGAAAGGGUAGCAAUACCCGAGUAAAGUGGCGAACGGGUGAGUAACGCGUAGGGAACCUGCCUUCGAGAGGGGGAUAACACUCCUAACGGGGUGCUAAUACCGCAUGACACUGCGGGGUCGCAUGGCUCUGCAGUCAAAGGUGGCCUCUGUUUACAAGCUACCACUCGAAGAUGGUCCUGCGUCCCAUUAGCUAGUUGGCGGGGUAACGGCCCUCCAAGGCGACGAUGGGUAGCCGAUCUGAGAGGAUGACCGGCCACACUGGGACUGAGAUACGGCCCAGACUCCUACGGGAGGCAGCAGUCGAGAGGCUUCGGCAAUGGGGGAAACCCUGACCGAGCGACGCCGCGUGGAGGAUGAAGGCCUUUGGGUUGUAAACUCCUGUCAUGAGGGAAGAAACGUCACCGUUCGAAUAGGGCGGUGGCCUGACGGUACCUCAAGAGGAAGCUCCGGCUAACUCCGUGCCAGCAGCCGCGGU